rnacentral:sRNA from 1 species
AUGAGAUACAUGGAAAUUAAAUGGAAUGAUGGAAAGCCGAAUAUCAAGGACGUAAUAGUGAACGAAAGAGAGAUAGGAGCAUGGUUGUCAAAAUCCAAAUUUGGAUCCUACGAUUUUUAUGAUCUCACCUACCCAAAACGAUCCGGAUCUUUCAAGGAUCUUUGUGAUCAUUUAGGAUCGUACAAUUCUGACGAUCCCAAAUGAUAAUGGUUUUUUGUAAUCUUUUUUAACUUGAUAGAAGGCUCAGUUGGACUCAAAUAAAAAAUAACAUCCCAAUAGAUUAAGUUUUGUUAUUCUAAUGUAAAGAGAUAGAGUGUAAGUUGAGUCAAAAUGAAAAAUAACAUCUCAAUAGAGUGUCACGUUUUGAGAUUUUUGACCUCUUUAAACGAUGCUUACAAAUGGAUGUAAUGAUGCAUGGUAAUCAUAUCAAAUGGAUGCAAUUUUUUGGUUUUUAUGAAUGCAUAAUUUAUGUGAUUAUUUAACAUACUAGUUUGUUUUUUUGUUUUUCUCAAAUAAUGUAGGAUUUUAUGAUUCAUGAUCCGAUCCUACGAUCUACAAUUUCACUUACCUCCCACGAUUUUACGUAGGAUCCUGAUUUUGACAAUCUUGGAUAUGAGCAUAAUAAAUCUCAUGAUAUUAUUUAUUAUUAUUAUUAUUAUUAUUAUUUAUACAAGAUAGAAAUUCUAUUAUAGUAUAAUUUAAGUGUAUAUGUAUGUGAAAUUCUUUCUUAAAGAUUUGAACCUCCAGCCCUUACCCCCCAUACUUCACAAGCACUUAUACUUAUGAAGUGACCAUCACACCAAGAAUGUGCUAACAGAUAAUAUCUUGUCUAGCUAAGUUGGUUAAAGGUUCCCUUUCAUGAUUAAUCUAGAUGAGUUACUUUAAUAAAACACAAGUUUACUUCAUUCACUUUUUGACUAUAAAGCCAAUCAUCUUUACCCCACCAUGACAAUUUCCCACUAAAGUUGAGGUGAUUCCAGUGAUCGGUGUCUCCCCUUGUCUUGAAGUGCAAUGACCUGAAAAGAAAGUCCACAUGAUUCCUCAACAUCUAUUUCCACUUAUUAAUUAUUGUGCUACAUUAAUAAUACAAUCACUCGCUUUUACUUUUCGUAGUUUCUUCGAAAAGAUUAGCAUUUAGCAAGAAGGGUUGCUUUGUGUUAUCUUCUUGGCCUCUUUUUUUUUACUUACUAAGAGCAGCAGCAUGUAACAGGCUAACAGCCAAUCAGUCUAUGUACUUAAACUUCUCCUCGGAUUUCUAAAGAGUUGUUGCUAAUUUGUAGAUUUGGCUUUCUCUUGGAGAUAGGAGGACCGGUAAGAUCUUUGAUGUGAUUGUGCGUAUGAAAUUAUUUAUUUAUUUAUUGGUUUAGAUAUUUAUAGGAUUAGAUGACUGACUGUACAUGUUUUUUUAUUUUUUUUUAUUUUUUAUUUAAAAGAUUAUAUUGUAAUAUAUUCUUUGUUUAUUUUAGCUAUCUUUUCCACUAAAAUUUUCAUUUAUGUAAAAGAAAAAGUGGACUUCCUUUAUAUACUGGGUCAUUACUUCAUUCCCCAGCCUGCUUAUAGUUAAAAUAAUAAUAAUAAUAAUAAUAUUCUUUUGGGGUUAAACAUUUUGAAAAAAAUUAAGUACUGUGAAAUGAAUCAUUUCCAUUUGAAAGCAAACAGAGAGAAACAUUCCUUUCUGCAGAAAUUUGUUUCUUUUAAAGCUAUCUUUUUUUUUUUCCUCCUCUUCCAUCUGAUUUUCCUUGUGCAAACUUGUUUUGGUUUGCGUUACUUUCUUCUCUGUGCUUUUGCAUUGUAUUUUCUUGUGUGCUAUAUCUUUGAUUAUCAUGUGUUUGGAGAUUAUGUUCUUUCAUUGCCUUUGGUGCUUAGUAAGACAUGUUCAGCCUGUGUACAGUGUUGGUCUUUCUUAUUAAUUAGCCACGAACGCAUUGCACGUAAUAAUCAUUUUUAUGGUGGUUUAAUUAAUUUUUUUUUUAACAAUUUAAACUAAUUUAAUAAAGAAUAACGUAUUUCAUAAUUAUAUUUUUAUUUAUUAUAGGAACAAUCAUAGAUAUAAUAUAAGAACAAUCAUAGAUCAUAAAUAUAAAUUUUGUCGUACCAAAAUAAAAACAAUACAAUUUUCUUAGAAAUUCAAAAGGCAAGUUAACGAAAAUAUUUAUUUUUUAAUAAAAGUUAUUUAUAACAUUUUGUGAAUCAUUAAAGAAAAUAUAAAAUUUGGAAAUUAUUCUUUUAGUUUAAAAAAAACUUUCUCAAACCUUAUUUUUUCUGCUUGCAAUCCAAAACACCGAAAAAUGUAAAUAAGAAAAUUAAUAAACUUAACAAUGAUUAAUUGGACCAAUUAAGAAAAAAAUUUGUUGUGGAUAAUCUAUUAAGGUUAUUUUCUUUGGUGAAAUUGUAAUUUCAUCCACCCAAAACAUAUUAUCAAAUAAACAAUUAUUAGAAAAAUCUAAGAAUUAAAUUUCUUUAUAUGCAUUGUUAUAAAAUAAUAAUAACAAUUAAAGUAAAAUUGCAAAAGCUAAAAUUUGUCACCCAUCUGAUUAUUUUUGUAUGGCUACCUUUGCUUUUCUCUAAAUAAAUGGCGUUAUAGAGUACUUCUAAUACAACUAUUAAGAGUACCUUGUUCACCACAAAGGACUAAAAAAUAAACAAAAAUUAGUAAAAUCUCGUAGUUUAACAUUUAAAUCAAGCAUUAUAAAAAAUCAUGCUGUCUAAUAGAAUAAAUACCAAAUUAUCCAAAUCAUACUAUAUAAUAGAAUAAUAUUAUAUUUUUAUAUGUUAUAUUUAAUUCUUUAUAAUGCAAUAGGAUAAAAUUUAACAAUCAAAGAGAACCCAAAAAAAAAAAAAAAAUUAAAAAACAAAACUAAAUCGCAUUAACCAAAAGUAGAGUUUUAAAUAAUAUAAAAGAUUAUCAACCUAAAGUAGAGAUACAAGAAAAGUAAAAAAUCCACCAAAAAAUUGAGAGAGAGAGAGAGAGAGAGAGAGAGAGAGAGAGAGAGAGAACCUUUUCUUUGUGAGGGAAAACUAUGUAUUGAAUAGAAGAGAUAGUGAUAGAUUUAUAGUAAAAGGUUGUGAAUAAGAAGAGAUAAAAAUAAAGAAAGAUGAAGGGAAAAAGGAAGAAUGAUAUUAAUGUAAAGAAUAGUGGGGAGAUAAAAAGGUAAGAGGAGGAGAAAGGUUUGAGAAGCAAUGGGAAAAUGAAAAGGUAAGGGAGAGAAAGGUUAGAAAAGUGUAAAAAUUAAAAAAAAUAAAUGUUUAAAAAAAUUAUAGAAAAAUUGAAAGAAAAAGGAUAAUGAAGUGGACGCUGAUGUGGUUUAACUAGAACGUAGUAACAAUAAAUGUUAGACUUUAGUUUUUAGAUAUAUAUAUAUAUAUAUAGAAUAUAGAUUACAUCCCUAAAUUUCAAUUAAUAUCAGCAUCCUUUUUUCAAUUAAAAAAAGGUAGAGCAAAGUUUAUAUUAUUAUUAUGAUAUUUAAUUGCACAUAUAAUUUCUGUGGGAUUUCACUAAAAACUUUUCUAUGGGAUUUCACUACAAACUUCAAAGUCGUAACUUCUUUUUAAAGGAGCAAUAUUAGAGACAUAACUUUUAUGUGGACCUAUUUUUAUGGGAUUUCACUAACACUAUUUUUAUUAUGUACCAAUCACAUUAGGCUAUGUCAAUAAAUUUUUUCAAAAAAAUUGUGAAAAUUUUUCAUUCCCAUAAAAAAAAAUAUUUGAUUCCAUGGAUAUUGAUUAGCUCAUAAUAAUAAUUAAAAAAACAUAUUCCAAUUAAUAGAGGCUUGUUUUUAGAACCUAUUGGAAAAGCCAAGUCCUCUUGCAAUAACCAUUGGCCAUAUAACCUUGGUCUAAUAAUUCAUAAAUUGAAUUAUUUAUAGCUGAACUAAAUUAUUAUUUGCUUCUUUUUAGUUUGUCCAAAUUUAUUAUUUUCACUUAAAAUAUAUAUUAAUUCAUCUACUUAAAAUAUAUAUUAAUUCCUCUAAAUUAAGAUAUGCUGUAAUCAUAUUUUAAAAUUUUAAUUUGACAAGUCAACUUUAGAAUUUACAAAAAAAAAAUCUCUUCUUUUAGUUCAUUAUAAAGACAAUAACAUUGGGGGAGGGGAGAGAGAGAAAAUGAGACCGACUGAUCUACCGCCACCUCUCCUUCCACUUACCAUUUACUAAUCCAACUCCAUGGCUUUUAAAACUUGGGGACUAUAAAGAUGAAUUCUUCCAUUUUGUUUUUAAUUUUUAGUUAUAAAUGUGCAAAAUGUCUGAUGUACAUAUUGGGUACAUUUGCAGGCACAAAACAAUGGAAAUUGUGGGUCCCAUUUUCGAGAUUGCAAAAAUGAUAUUUGCUCCAAUUUGCAAAUGCUGUGAUUAUUAUAGAGGCGCUGAUAAACAUAGGAGAAUUCUCAAGAACAAAUGGCAGAAUUUAGAACGCCGGAAGAUAGACACAAUCUCAAGAAUGAGAGCACAACUUCUUCCAGGAAAGACACCAAUGAAAGAAGUUGAAGGCUGGCUCCAAGAUGUAGAAAAGAUGAAUGAUGAAUUAGAAGACAUUGAACGUGAAGCUGUAGAAGGGAAGUGUUUCUCACGUGCACACGUAGGAAAACUUGCUUUUAAGAAGAUACGAGAGGUGGAAGAACUUUAUCAAAGGGGUGCUUUUAGUGAUAGUUUGGUCAUUGAUCCACCUCCAAGCAAUGGAGAAAUAAUGUCAACACCAACUUUGAUUGGGGAAAGCACUGCUGAAAGAGUAAAGGAAACAAUUUGGGCAUGGGUGUUGGACGAUGAUGUUAGAAAGAUUGGCCUUUAUGGAAUGGGAGGUAUAGGGAAAUCGACUGUCAUGGAACACAUCAAUAAUCGUCUAUUAAAAGAGAAAAACAAAUUUGACAGUGUCAUUUGGGUCACUGUAUCAAAGUCUUUAAAUGUUAUCCAACUACAACAUGAUAUUGCACGCAAGUUGGAUUUAGAUCUCGCAAAAGUUGAGGAUGUAAGAGAAAGGGCUGCCAAGUUAAAGGCAAAAUUGGAAGAUGAGAAUAGAUAUGUGCUAAUCUUAGAUGAUAUGUGGGAAGCAUUUGCUCUUGAGAAAGUAGGAAUUCCAGAGCCUACUUUAGCAAAUGGAUGCAAAUUGUUGUUAACAACACGAGAUCUUGCUGUUUGUCGAGGAAUGAAUUGUAAUGAUAUCAAAAUGGAGUUACUUUUGAAAGAGGAGGCACAUAAGUUGUUUUUGGAUAAAAUGGGUUAUGAUGUUUUUAAUAUUCCCUAUUUGAAACCAAUUGCAAAAGAGGUUCUUGAAAGAUGUGCCCAAUUGCCUCUUGCAAUUGUUACGAUAGCUGCAAGUUUCAAACCCUUAAGACAAGAUUUCGAGUGGAGGGAUGCACUGGAAAAGCUGAAGACAUCAGUAAUGAGGUCUAACAAUAGAGAGAAGCAGGUACUUGAGACACUUAAAUUUAGUUAUGAAUGCUUGGAAGAUGAGGAACCUAAACAGUGUCUCUUGCAUUGUGCACUAUACCCUGAAGACUUCGAGAUUGACAAACAAGAGUUGAUAGAACAUUUGAUUGAUGAGGGAAUUAUUGAAAGAAUGAAGAAUAGGCAAACGGAGUUUGAUAGGGGCUAUUCAAUAUUGAGUAAACUUGAAAAUGCUUGCUUAUUGGAAGGUGGAAAUGAUAAUUUUGUGAAGAUGCAUGAUUUGGUAAGAGACAUGGUCCUCCAGGUUGCAAGUCCUGAAUUUAUGGUAGAAGGUCACUUGGGAUUGGAAGAUUUUUCAGAUGAAGGAAAAUGGAGAAAGGAUCUUGUAAAGGCUUCUUUGGUGUACAACAACAUAUCAACAAUCCCUUGUAAUGUAUCACCAAGGUGUCCUAACCUUUCAACCUUGUUGCUGCGAUUUAACAGGUCAUUAGGAGCUGUCCCAGAUUCUUUGUUUGAGCAUUUGCAUGGGCUCAAGGUUCUUGAUCUAUCAUAUACUGGUAUUGGAUCUUUGCCGAAUUCAGUCUUUAGCUUGGAGAAUCUUUCUACAUUAAGGCUUAGAGGGUGUAGACAAUUAGACCAUGUGUCUUCAUUAGCAAAGCUUACAACAUUGAGAAAGUUAGACCUUGGGUUAACAAACAUUAAGGAAGUACCUCAUGGUUUAGAAAUGUUGGUCAACUUGACAUAUCUCAAUUUGAAUGCGUGUAGACUAAAAACCAUUCCACUUGGGAUUUUACCUAAACUAUCUCAUCUUCAGUAUCUCUCAGUUUCCUGCGAUUCAAACACAGUAUUAGUGAAAGGAGAAGAGAUAGCAAGCUUGAAGAAAUUGGAGACUUUUGGGGGCCAUUUUUAUGACUUAUACGAGUUCAAUACGUAUAUAAGAUCCUUGGAGAAAAGGCAACUUGCAUGUUACGAAAUUGAAGUGGGAAUGUCAAUUAUGGAUGAUUGUCUAAGGGAAGAAGUCUUAGGUGGCAAAUUUGUAAUGUUAAAUGACUGCAAUUUAAGAAAAGGAGAAGAGUCCUUCGUGCUACCGAAAGAUGUGCAAGCUCUAGCUAUUGGAAGCUGUCACGAAAUAAGAAGCUUAUGCGAUGUUCCGUCUUUGAACCACGCAACUGAAUUAAAGUUUAUAGUUCUUGACAACUGCGAAGGAAUAGAGCACGUACUUUCAUUUUCUUCUUCUUCAUCGUCCACUUCUUGUACCCUUUCUCUUCAAACUCUCGAGGUUUUAUAUCUUUCUAGUUUGGAUAACUUACAGGUACUGUUUAGAAAAGAGGAAGUUGCAUCGGCACGGUUCCCACCUGACACCUUUUCCUGUCUCAAAACAUUUGCAAUAGAGAAUUGUUCAAGAAUAAAGAAACUGCUUCCGGCUGGGUUGCUGCUACACUUGCACAACCUGGAAGAGAUCGUGGUCUGCAAUUGUGGACAAUUAGAGGAAAUAAUAGCAGAAGUAUUUGAUGAAUUUGAAGGAGAAGAAAAAGAGGGAAUGGACACUACCAAAAUCACUCUCGCCAGAUUGAGAACUUUGGAAUUACGGGACCUACCAAAAUUGAAGACCAUUUGUAGUAGCAGAAAAGUAAUAGUUUGUGAUUCUCUUGAAAGGGUUGAGAUAAUUGAAUGUCAAAAGCUGAAGAGACUCCCUCUCUCUCUGCCGCUUCUUAAUGGACAACUAUCUCCUCCCCCUUCUCUUAAAGAGAUUAAAGCAGUUAAAGAAUGGUGGGAGUCGUUGGACUGUCAGGACACUAGGAAUGUCCUUCAACCCUUCUUCUGGGAUCCGAAGGAACGGGAUAAACAAUUUUUAGCAUAUUGGGCGGUAUGUCUUUCUCUUCAUUCUCACAUUUGUUUUAUUAUUUAUCUUUUAUGGACCCAUCUUUAAUCUUUCUUUUAUUUUCUCUAAUCCAUUUUCUAGAAUCCUUUAAAUACCCCUUUUUGGAUUGGGCCAACCAAUUAUUUAUCACAUCUUCCCUGUAAGUAUAUGCUUUAUAGUUACUGCAAAAUGAUUUUGCAAGUGGUUUCUUUUGCUGUUUUGGUCUUAUAAGGGAUUUAUGGCUAAGAAAUUAUUGUGUGAUUUUAUUCUAUUCUAUUUUUUUUUUUUUUUUUUUUUUUCAUAUUUGCUAAUUAAUAUGAACUUUGCUGUGUUAUUAACGUGUGCCCCUCUUUGACUAAGUGCGACCAUCUUCUGUAGUAAUUGAUCCUCUGGCUGAUUUGUUUUGAUACUCCCUUUCUGUUUCCACAUCCCCUUUUAUCUUCUUCAUUUUUUUUUUUAAAUUUUUUUAUUUUGAAUGCUGUGUACAUUUUUUUCUUAAGUAAUCUUUUCCCCCUAAAUGUGGUGAAGAUGCAUGAUCUUUUCUGGAUAUCUUGAAACACUCCUUUACAGAGAUCUUGGUUCCAAUUGAUCUCAUUUGUGAUUUUUAUUUUAGAAUGUCAAGUCUUGGAUUCCUAUAUCAUUAGAAAAAUGAGGUAUAUACCUUGUGCUUAAUUUACAAAAUUGGUGCACAUCUGGUCAAUAUCCUUUGUAACUACGCCUAUCGAUAUGUUCUAUAUGUGUGGUUUGGUUAAUUUGGGAAGUGGGAACGCUUAUGAUGCAAGCAUUUUUGAUCUUCAAUUUUCCAUACUUUUUUGCUUUUGUUUUUUUUUGGGGGGUGGGUUAAUCACUUGAGCUGUCUUGGGUGAUCCACCAAGAUGUCACCAUGAUCUUUUCCUGGAUUCUCUACACUUUUUGUGUUGAUAAAUAGCCUUCCUUUUGGGUGAUUAAAUAUUUAAAUGUUUAUAUUUAUUUCCAUUCCUUUUCCUUUUCUUUUUUUUCCCUUCUUGUUAUUUUUGCAAUUCCUCCCUUUAAUGUAAAAUCAUUCUCAAAACUACCUGUGUUAAUCUAUGCUGAAGUUUGGCAUUUUUUAGUAUGGAUUUUUUAUCAUUGGCUUAUUACCAUUAAUAACUGUCAUAUGAGUUUAGUUCAAGGUUUAAAUGAACAAUCCAUUACUCAGUUCAAGGGACAGCCCAACUUGGCCAAUAAAAAAUCAGGAUAUAUGUCAUUCCAGAAUCAGCCAAUUUGCCACCAGCUUGCAUAUAACACUUACUCUUUUAUUGUCUUGUAAUACUUUUGCACUUAAUUUAUUAUUUACAUAUAAAUGUAACAUAUGCAAAUACACACUUUUUUAUGAAUGCACCUAUCUAGAGUAUAUGUGUACUUUUUUAAAUGGUGAAAAGUAUUAGAAGAUUAUUGGUACAUCAGAUUUAAGGUAGCUACAAAUUAUACUUUCAGUUGGGAAUCAUAGGACUUCUGGUUAAAUAACUGUCUAAGCAUACUAAAAAGUUGGUCCAAUCUUUUCUUGUAGGUUAUAACAAGAAUUGUGUAAUAUGUUCAUUACAUUUGAAUUUAUAUAUUGUAACUUGAUGCUAUUUUUCACUAUUAAGUUGUUCUCACUUACUAAAAUGUUACACCUUUUUACUCUAAAUUUUGGAAAAGAUGGAAUAGUCGACUACUUGGUUUGAAAUAAAUGAUAUAUUGAUGAGUCGUCUCAUUUGAGGCACAUAGCACUGUUCAUUUCAAUUUUUUAAUUUGGGGUUUGAACAAGCUCGUGUGUUUUCAUACAAAUCCGAGCUUUCAGAUGCUAUUUUUCACUAUUGAGUUGUUCUCACUUCUUGAAAUGUUACACUUUUUUACUCUAAAUUGUGGAAAAGAUGGAAGGGUCGACUACUUGGUUUGAAAUAAAGGAUAUAUUGAUGAGUCACCUCAUUUGAGGCAUAUAGCAUUGUUCAUUUCAAUUUUGUUAGUUGAACUAUUUGUAUAAUUGAUAAAUUUUAUUAAAAAAAAUGUAAAAGAGGAAUGUAUUAAAAUGUGGUUAUGUUAGUGAAUUUUGUGGUUUACUUGUUGAUGCAUAUAUUUUUGCUCCCCAUAUAUUCACAAAAUCUCCCUUCACUAUAUAUGUGGAGAAUGGGAAGUUUAAAGAGGACACAGAUGGUAAUUUUCUUGAUAUGCAUAAUUUUAAUGCCGAAAAUCUGCUCCUCAAGUUGGUAAGACCUAUUUUCCUAGAACCUAUGCUCCAUUGUUAUGCACUAGAUAAGGCUUUGAAAAAUAUUUUCAGUUGACUACCUGAAUGUGUUAAGUAGGGACAAAGCAAUCAAAUAAACUAUUUUCAUUAUGAACAUACUCUCUGCAAUUUAUUUUUUUCCUGUGAUAGAAGGCAUUUCAUUACCAUAUAACGAUGUGAAUAUUGAAGAGAAAGAUCAAUUAGAUUGUUAUUCUUCCUUGUCUUUUGCUACUUUAUUUGUUUUUGAGUUGCAGGCUUUUAGGAAAGCCUACUUGAAUGUGUUAUAAUCUUUCAUUAUGUUUGGAGUAUUCUCUUUAUUUCCCUCAAGUUCAAUGUUGCUGUGUGAUUCACAUUUCAUGCAUUGCAGCAGCUGUAGUACUGCAGCAUGCUCCAUAUGUUAAGAAAAUGCUUAUUGCACUGUAAAUUUUGAAAAAGAUGGAAUGGUUGCCUAUUUGUAUAAUUGAUAAAAUUUUAUAAAAAAUUGUGAAAGAUAAAUGGAUUGAGAUAUGGUUAUGUUAGUGAAUUUUGGUGCUUUACUUGAUGCAUGAAUUUUUGCUGUCCAUAUAUUCACAAAAUCUCUCUUCACUAUUUAUGUGGAGAAUGGGAAGCUUAAAGAGGACGCAGAUGGUAAUUUUCUUAAUAUGCAUAAUUUUAAGGCAGAAAAUCUGCUCUUCAAAGCAAAAACUGUAAAUUUAUACAGGAUCUUUAGUUUCCACAUUCUAUCCCAGACCUUGGGAUCUUAGUAAAUCCCAUCCUAGCCUCGUAAGAACCUGACUUAGUGUAAGGCCAGAAUUUUUAGUUGAGUUUGACAAAUAUUCGUCAUACACAGAUAAGACUAGUUGCUGAUUCCAGGACCAGAGAUCUUGUCCAUCUGAUCAGUCUCACAAGCAAGUUUCUCAGCCUCUGUGCCCUUGUUCCUUGCUCUAGAACUAGGCCAAAGAAAUGGUCAAUUGGAAUGUUAGUACCAUCCCCAAGUCCCCACUUAACAUCAGUUAACUGUGUCCCUCUAGACCAAAGGAUACUCCUCCUAGAAUAAGAAGAAAUAUUGGUAAUCUACACUCAAGUGGAGUGUUGUAAUUAAAAUAUUCUUUUGCUUAAGAACAUCAUUCAUGGAAAAAAUUUAGGCUUGGUAACAAGCGUCCAAAAGUGGUGUACAUUUCCGAAUUAGUAAAUCUUUAACAUGAAUCAUGGUUUUAUGCAGUAAAGUUAUAUCUCAAAAAAAGAAAAAAGAACAAAAAAAGUUUAUAUCCAGUGUACAUUUCUGUUCUACUACAUUUUGAUGCUAAAUCUGGUGAAGAUGCUUGGUCUCCUCUGUAAAAUUUUAAAACAUUCCUUUUACAGAAACCAUAAAUCCAAUUGAUCUAAUUUGUGCUUUUUGUUGCAGAAUUACAUAGCUAGGACUUCUCUACCCCUGGAAAGAAGUGGUAAAAUUGUAUCUGAUUUUUACUUCCUUAUCAGUCUUCUUGUAAAAUUGUUUUCACAAGUGUUUUUUCUCCCUUGGUUUGGUCUGAUAUAGGAUUUGUUGACAAGCCGAACCUGACAUAA